UAUAAGCGUUAGAAUAAUAUGAAUAUAAACAUUUUGUGUUCGUUUUAGUGAUGUGAGUGACAUUAGCAUGUUCACGGAAUUGUAUUUCGAUCCCGUAUAUUGAUAACUUUAAAAAACUCCGUCGAUCUACAAAAGCUCCAAGGAAAAGAAAUUCAUUGCGGGACCCAUUGAUACGGGUAAAAUGAUCUCAGGAGAGCACCCUACUUGAGAAGCGCUCGUGUAUCCACGAUUUCCGAUCCACCCCAAAACGGUAGGCAGGUUAGCUCUGCCCCUGAUAUUGGUGACGUCCACGGGCGACGGUAACCACUCACCAUCAGUAAACGUGAUAUUCCGAGUACAAACUUCACGAUACAUUCAGUACACUGUGCUCGGAACAUAGGAGUCUGUCCUGUGUGCAAGGAACCUGUACCGUUUUAAAAAAAAAUCUUAAUUGUACUGUCCAAAUUUUUAUUAGAUCAAGAGCGUUUCACAACGCCCUCCAGACCGCCAGAGACAAAAAUGGAUGGAGAAAGAUCGUGCGUGCGAAGGUGAUACAAAAGGGUGGCCACGACCCUCAGCAAUGAGGAAUACGACGCAAGGAGGAGGAAUGAUCUAACCUAAUAAUCAACACCUAAUGAUCUCUCAACACGUAUCCGCAGCAUCUGUUCACGACUUAACCUAACCUAAUCUAUCUUAAGAAGGAGGGAGCCUGGAGACCAGUAAUACAGGUCUUCGAACCUAGUACAGACUUCAGCUCUUUCAAAGGCUUGCAAAAUAAAUUAUAAGGUUAAUUUCCAUUUGUAUUUGUACUGUACCUUUAAGAGAGAAAUAAAUAAAUUAU